UUUAAUUGAAGAGUUUGAUCAUGGCUCAGAUUGAACGCUGGCGGCAGGCCUAACACAUGCAAGUCGAGCGGCAGCACAGAGGAACUUGUUCCUUGGGUGGCGAGCGGCGGACGGGUGAGUAAUGCCUGGGAAAUUGCCCGGUAGAGGGGGAUAACCGAUUGGAAACGAUGGCUAAUACCGCAUAACCUCGCAAGAGCAAAGCAGGGGACCUUCGGGCCUUGCGCUACCGGAUAUGCCCAGGUGGGAUUAGCUAGUUGGUGA
rnacentral:rRNA from 1 species